CGGACACAGGUGGGAUUUUGGGGCUGUUCCCCCGUCCUUUUUCCCACUGGGAAUCUCAUUUAGGAUCAGGGAAAUCAUCCCCAGUGCCGUGGUUUGGGAUCGGAGCUGAAGGAUCCCGACCCCUCCGUCCUGGAUCCUGGAUUCCUGAAGCUGUGGGAUCAGGGAAAACAUAAAAAAAAAAAACCCCCCAAAAAAAGAGGGAAUUUGGGCAAAAAUAAAAGCUGGCAAGAGAUUUUUUUUGGGGGUGGAAAGCCAGGAAUUCAGCUUGGUGACUCGGCAGAAUUCCAGAAUCCCUGAGGUUGGAAAAUCCCUCCAGGAUCACCCAGUCCAAGCUGUGCCUGAUCCCCACCAGACCAAGGUCUGGGAAUUCCGACGGGAAAUUUAGACCCCCCCCCAAAAAAUUGGAUUUUAAAGGAUUUAAAUCCCCCUUUUCCAGUGCUCUGUUCCAUGAGAAACGAGGGGAUGGCACGAAGGAGAAAUAAAUGGAUUUUGUCCUGCGAGAGCAGCCAGGAAUUUGGGAUUUAAACCCGAAAAAAAUGCGGAUUUUCCCUGUCCUUGGUGCUGGAAGUUCAUCCCAAUCCCGCAGCUGCCAGGAUUGAGGAGCAAUUCCCACCUCCAGCAGCUCCCAGGGGUUUUGGGAUCAGGUUUUUACCCCGGCCUGAACCUCCUGAGGGUUGGGAUUCCCUCCGUCCCCCUGCCAGGAGCAUCCGAGGGGAUUCCCUGCAUCCCAAAUUCCCAAAUUCCCCAUUUUUUCCCUCUCCACAGCUGAGUACACGACGGUGUAUGCCGAGGUGGGGCCUGCCCAGCAGCAGCGCAUCCCGAAAGGAAUUAAAGCCAAGCCAGCGGACGGGGAAUCUUCCAGAAGCGUUUAUGCCCUGGUCAAUCGCCCGGAGCAGGUGAGCUGGGAACAUCCCGGGGCUGGAGCUCCUGGAGUUGGGACAGAACAAAUCCGUGGAUCUCUCUGGGAGAGCGGGAUCGGCUCCCAACAUCCCAAAACAAACCCCGGUGUCGCUUUGUCCUGGCAGG
rnacentral:lncRNA from 1 species